rnacentral:rRNA from 1 species
AUUGAACGCUGGCGGCAGGCCUAACACAUGCAAGUCGAGCGAGCGGCGGACGGGUGAGUAAUGUCUGGGAAACUGCCUGAUGGAGGGGGAUAACUACUGGAGACGGUAGCUAAUACCGCAUACCAUCAGAUGUGCCCAGAUGGGAUUAGCUAGUAGGUUGGGUAACGGCUCACCUAGGCGACGCUCCCUAGCUGGUCUGUGAGGAUGACCAGCAACACUGGAACGGAGACACGGUCCAGAAUCCUACGUGAGGCAGCAGUGGGGAAUAUUGAAAAAUGGGCGAAAGCCUGAUCAGGCCAUGCCGCGUGUGUGAAGAAGGCCUUCGGGUUGUAAAGCACUUUAAGCGGGGAGGCGUUACCCGCAGAAGAAGCACCGGCUAACUCCGUGCUAGCAGCCGCGGUAAAC